rnacentral:rRNA from 1 species
GGCUAACGCUGGCGGCGUGUCUUAGCCAUGCAAGUCGAGCGGACUUAUGGGGUAACUUAUAAGUCAGCGGCGGACGGCGGAGUAACACGUAGCUAACCUACCCUCUGGACGGGGAUAACCUACCGAAAGGUGGGCUAAUACCCGAUGUAGUCAUCCUGUAUAGGGGUGAUGAAAGGUGGGCUUCUGUUUACAAGCUCAUGCUGGAGGAGGGGGCUGCGGCCUAUCAGGUAGUUGGUAGGGUAAUAGCCUACCAAGCCGAUGACGGGUAGCCGGCCUGAGAGGGUGACCGGCCCGAGGGGCACUGAGAUACGGGUCCCACUCCUACGGGAGGCAGCAGGCUAGAAAUUUGGGCAAUGGGGGAAACCCUGACCCAGUGACGCCGCGUGCAGGAAGGAGCCCCUUCGGGGUGUAAACUGCUGUCGUGUAGGGAGAAGGGUACUAAGGUGAACAAUCUUAGUACUUGACGGUACUACAGGAGGAAGCCCAGGCUAACCUCGUGCCAGCAGCCGCGGUAAGAUAGCGUACU